rnacentral:rRNA from 1 species
GACGAACGCUGGCGGCGUGCUUAACACAUGCAAGUCGAACGGAAAGGCCCUGCUUUUGUGGGGUGCUCGAGUGGCGAACGGGUGCGUAACACGUGAGUAACCUGCCCUUGACUUUGGGAUAACUUCAGGAAACUGGGGCUAAUACCGGAUAGGAGCUCCUGCUGCAUGGUGUGGGUUGGAAAGUUUCGGCGGUUGGGGAUGGACUCGCGGCUUAUCAGCUUGUUGGUGGGGUAGUGGCUUACCAAGGCUUUGACGGGUAGCCGGCCUGAGAGGGUGACCGGCCACACUGGGACUGAGAUACGGCCCAGACUCCUCCGGGAGGCAGCAGUGGGGAAUAUUGCACAAUGGGCGGAAGCCUGAUGCAGCAACGCCGCGUGCGGGAUGACCGCCUUCGGGUUGUAAACCGCUUUCGCCUGUGACGAAGCGUGAGUGACGGUAAUGGGUAAAGAAGCACCGGCUAACUACGUG